rnacentral:misc_RNA from 1 species
GAUGAAGAACGCAGCGAAAUGCGAUAAGUAAUGCGAAUUGCAGAAUCCGUGAGUCAUCGAAUCUUUGAACGCACAUUGCGCCCCCUGGUAUUCCGGGGGGCAUGCCUGUCCGAGCGUCAUUACAACCCUCAAGCUCAGCUUGGUGUUGGGCCCCGCCGCCCCGGCGGGCCCUAAAGUCAGUGGCGGUGCCGUCCGGCUCCGAGCGUAGUAAUUCUUCUCGCUCUGGAGGUCCGGUCGUGUGCUCGCCAGCAACCCCCAAUUUUUUUCAGGUUGACCUCGGAUCAGGUAGGGAUACCCGCUGAACUUAAGCAUAUCAAUAAGCGGAGGA